rnacentral:rRNA from 1 species
AUUUUGCGCAAUGGACGAAAGUCUGACGCAGCAACGCCGCGUGAGUGAUGAAGGCCUUCGGGUCGUAAAGCUCUGUCGGAGGGAACGAAUGCUUCUGAGGUUAACAGCCUCGGGAGGUGACGGUACCCUCAAAGGAAGCACCGGCUAACUCCGUGCCAGCAGCCGCGGUAAUACGGAGGGGGCUAGCGUUGUUCGGAAUUACUGGGCGUAAAGCGCACGUAGGCGGCUUUGUAAGUUAGAGGUGAAAGCCCGGAGCUCAACUCCGGAACUGCCUUUAAGACUGCAUCGCUAGAACGUUGGAGAGGUAAGUGGAAUUCCGAGUGUAGAGGUGAAAUUCGUAGAUAUUCGGAAGAACACCAGUGGCGAAGGCGACUUACUGGACAACUGUUGACGCUGAGGUGCGAAAGCGUGGGGAGCAAAC